rnacentral:rRNA from 1 species
GACAGAGGAUGCAAGCGUUAUCCGGAAUGAUUGGGCGUAAAGCGUCUGUAGGUGGCUUUUCAAGUCCGCCGUCAAAUCCCAGGGCUCAACCCUGGACAGGCGGUGGAAACUACCAAGCUGGAGUACGGUAGGGGCAGAGGGAAUUUCCGGUGGAGCGGUGAAAUGCGCAGAUAUCAGGAGGAACACCGGUGGCGAAGGCGGAUCUCUGGGCCGAUACUGACGCUGAGGAGCGAAAGCGUGGGGAGCGAACAGG